rnacentral:misc_RNA from 1 species
UACGUAGGGGGCAAGCGUUGUCCGGAUUUAUUGGGCGUAAAGAGCUCGUAGGCGGCUUGGUUAGUCGGAUGUGAAAUCUCCGGGCUCAACCCGGAGAAGCCAUUCGAUACUGCCAUGGCUAGAGUCCGGUAGAGGGAUGUGGAAUUCCCGGUGUAGCGGUGAAAUGCGCAGAUAUCGGGAGGAACACCUAUAGCGAAGGCAGCAUCCUGGGCCGGUACUGACGCUGAGGAGCGAAAGCGUGGGGAGCAAACAGG